rnacentral:misc_RNA from 1 species
AAGAGGAACACAGGUCAUUUCUCCAGGGGUUGGCAAAACACGGAAAGGGUGAUUGGCGGGGUAUAUCAAGGAACUUUGUGUUUUCUAGAACACCAACACAGGUGGCAAGCCAUGCCCAGAAGUACUACAGUCGAUUAAAUGGCAAUAACACAAAGAGGAGAAACAGCAUUCAUGAUGUCAGUAGUGUGGGUGCUGCUAAUAUUACUGAACCUUCACAACAAAAAUCUGACGAGUUGACAGGACCUUGUGGAGGACAAUCGCAGUUGCCAAUUGCCGACUAUGUGACUGAUGCUUCCGAAGCAGGCAUGUUAUCUUUACCAGGGCCAGUUACAAACUGCACGACUGAUGCUUUUGAAGGACCAUCAGCUGUUAACCCCGAGAAAUUCCCGCUUGGUGCUGCUCUUGGUAGUGACUUGAAUAGCUCAUUUCCCCGCGUGGAUGAGUUCCUGCAAAGUGUAGAAGACCUAAUCAUCGUACCAGCAGAAGGCACCUCUGGAGUAUGCUGUGAGGUUGACUCUAGGACAUCUCCAUCACUUAGCAUGCAACCAUCAGUUACUGGUGGAACCGGAAUGUACACUCAUCCAGUUUCAUUUCCCGACGUGCAUGAGUUCCUGCAAGGUGUAGAAAACCUAAUCACUGUACCGGGAGAGGGUGCUUCUGGAGCAAACCGUGGGAUUGACACUAGGAUA